rnacentral:rRNA from 1 species
GUAAAGCUCUGUUGUAAGAGAAAAACGGCACUCAUAGGGAAUGAUGAGUGAGUGAUGGUAUCUUACCAGAAAGUCACGGCUAACUACGUGCCAGCAGCCGCGGUAAUACGUAGGUGGCGAGCGUUAUCCGGAAUGAUUGGGCGUAAAGGGUGCGUAGGUGGCAGAUCAAGUCUGGAGUAAAAGGUAUGGGCUCAACCCGUACUGGCUCUGGAAACUGAUCAGCUAGAGAACAGAAGAGGACGGCGGAACUCCAUGUGUAGCGGUAAAAUGCGUAGAUAUAUGGAAGAACACCGGUGGCGAAGGCGGCCGUCUGGUCUGGAUUCUGACACUGAAGCACGAAAGCGUGGGGAGCAAAUAGGAUUAGAUACCCUAGUAGUCCACGCCGUAAACGAUGAGAACUAGGUGUUGGGGGAAUAACUCAGUGCCGCAGUUAACGCAGUAAGUUCUCCGCCUGGGGAGUAUGCACGCGAGUGUGCAACUCAAAUGAAUUGACGG